rnacentral:lncRNA from 1 species
CGAGAUUGAAAAUAAUUUUGAAAAAAAAAAUUAAAAUUUGAGUUCGGAUGGUGUUUUUGAAAGAAAAGUUAGAAAAAGGGGGUCAAAAUACAAAAAAAAAAAAUUGGCCACGUAGGAUGGCCCAAUCAGCAGUCCCAAUUAACCGGAGUACGUUGCAUGUCAAAACACACUAACGUUCGCGCCACGUGGGAGGCCACGGGGGGUGAUCCGCAUACCCAGCGAUCCGACGACCCAGGUUCGAUCCCGUGUGCAUGAACGAUUCAGAUUUGUUUCAUUCUUAGACAUGAUCAGACGGAUGAGAUCAAUUAUAAUGAACAGUCUAGUUUCACCCACGUAAUUGGCCUAGAUAGGCAAAGAUUAAACGACCCUCCUUGCUCUAUGUUGAUGUAAAUGGAUGGUUCAAAUCGACGCGGGAUGGGUAUAAAUACCUCAUGUCGCAGGGGAAUCCAAACCCUAGCUGCUAGCCCUUACUGGAUAAGAAGAACUAGGUGCCAGAAAAAAAGGUCGACUGCCAACUACCG